AUACGGAGGAUCCGAGCGUUAUCCGGAUUUAUUGGGUUUAAAGGGUGCGCAGGCGGCCAUUUAAGUCAGCGGUUAAAUCGUGGGGCUCAACCCCAUUCUGCCGUUGAUACUGGGUGGCUUGAUUGCGGUCGAGGUUGGCGGAAUUCGUUGUGUAGCGGUGAAAUGCAUAGAUAUGACGAAGAACACCGAUUGCGUAGGCAGCUGACCAGACCGCAAAUGACGCUCAUGCACGAAAGUGCGGGGAUCGAACAGGAUUAGAUACCCCGGUAGUCCGCACAGUAAACGAUGAAUGCUUGUUUUCGGCGAUAUAAUGUCGGAGGCAAAGCGAAAGCGAUAAGUAUUCCACCUGGGGAGUACGCCGGCAACGGUGAAACUCAAAUGAAUUGACGGGG
rnacentral:rRNA from 1 species